rnacentral:misc_RNA from 1 species
AAAAUAAUCCUACCCUUUGUGAAUUUUGUUUGUUUGAAUAAUUUUUUUUUUAAAGAAUUAUUGGAGUCUUUCCCUUUAGAGUUUGCUUUUGAGUUUGUAAAAGAAUUCGAAAACAUCUAAAGGGGAUGGUCAAUAAUUUUUUUGAAAAAAGACAUUUUUUAAAAUUAAACUUUUGUAUUCAUUUGUCUAAAAAUUAUUUUUUAUAAUAUAAAAACAACUUUUGACAAUGGAUCUCUUGGUUCUCGCAACGAUGAAGAACGCAGCAAAAUGCGAUAAGUAGUGUGAAUUGCAGAAUACGUGAAUCAUCGAAUCUUUGAACGCAUAUUGCACUUUUUUAGUUUACUAAAAAAGUAUGUCUGUUUGAGUAUCAGUAAAAUAUUCUCAUAAAAAUCAUUGUGUAUUUUUAUGGUUACGAGUGUUUUACAACGAUACAAGUUGUUUCACUUUAAAUUUUUUUUAAUAUUGAAAUUUUUCUAAUUUUAAUAAUUAAAUUGGAUAAAAUUUUCCCGUCAAAAGGAAUAACCUAAAUAAUUUUAAAUGAUUAAUUUUAGCAAAAUUUUCGUAAAAAGGAAAAUUUUAUUAAAAUAACUUGAUCUCAAAUCAGAUAAGAGUACCCGCUGAACUUAAGCAUAUCAAUAAGCGGAGGAAAAGAACUAACAAGGAUUCCCUUAGUAACGGCGAGUGAAGCGGGAAGAGCUCAAAUUUGAAAUCUUCAAGGUUUUACCUUGACGAAUUGUAGUUUAAAGAAGUGUUUUCUGCUGAAGUUUUGGUAAAAGUUCUUUGGAAUAGGACAUCAUAGAGGGUGAGAAUCCCGUAUUUGACCAUUAUUUCAGCUUUGUGAUACACUUUCAAAGAGUCGGAUUGUUUGGGAAUGCAGUCCAAAAUGGGUGGUAAAUUUCAUCUAAAGCUAAAUAUUGGCGAGAGACCGAUAGCGAACAAGUACCGUGAGGGAAAGAUGAAAAGAACUUUGAAAAGAGAGUUAAACAGUACGUGAAAUUGUCAAAGGGAAGCGUUUGACACCAGUGUUGUUUUCUCGAAAAUCAAUUAAAAAUGGCUCGAUUUGUAUUGCUGAGACCUUAAAAGCUCACUGUACAUUUUUCGUGUCUUUUUUAAUGCACUUUCGUUUAACAAGUCAACAUCAGUUUCUUUUGUUGUAAAAGGGUCAUUGGAAGGUGGCUUUCUUUUCGGAGAAAGUGUUUAUAGCCUUGGCCUCUGCAAUCGAAGAGACUGAGGUCUGCAGCGUAGACUCUUCGGGUUAGAUACAUUAGUGCUAAGUUAUAGCUUUUUAUGGACAACUUGUUGACUAUAAUUAGUCUUGUAGCUUACUCGCUUAUGCUAUUUUA